rnacentral:rRNA from 1 species
UUUGCUGUUGGUAUGUGCCGAGAGGUCUGCGCGCCUCUUCCGAACCGUCGUGUGAUGCCCUUCGCCUCGUGCGCAGGUGUCUUGCACGGCGUGGGAUGUUGAUGGUGCGUAGAUUUGCGGGAGCCACUAGCGGUUUCGCGCGGUGUGCGUGGCAGUGUGCGUUGUGCGUAAGCGGUCGCGUGCGACUUGUUUGCGAUUUCGGCGUACGUUGUCUGCGUUUCAUCGCCCUAGUGUCGCCUUCUCGGUAUGAAAAGUCAGCCACCCAUCCGACCCGUCUUGAAACACGGACCAAGAAGUCUAGCAUGUGCGCGAGUCAUUGAGUGUAAAAACUUAAAGGCGAAAUGAAAGUGAAGGCCGACUUGGUGCGGCUGAUAUGGGAGUUGUGUUCGUACGCGUUCGCAAUGCACCAUAGCCCCAUCCCGUGAGCUUGCUCUGGGGUGGAGGAAGA